AUGCGCCAGAAACAGCUGAGAGCUCGAUUAUCUCCAGAUGAGCAGCUUGCUGCUGAAGAAAGUUUCGCGUUGUACUGCAAGCCAGUUGAGCUAUACAAUAUCAUUCAGCGGCGAGCCAUUAGAAAUCCCGCUUUUCUGCAAAUAUGCCUUCAUUACAAGAUACAUGCAAGCCGAAAAAAGAGGAUUCAGAUAACGGUAUCACUAUCUCGAAGUACAAAUACUAAGUUGCCAGAACAGAAUAUCUUUCCUCUUUAUGUCCUGUUGGCUACACCUACCAGUAAUAUUUCGCUUGAAGGGCAUUCUCCGAUAUAUCGAUUCAGUCGGGCUUGUUUGCUUACAGCUUUUAGUGAAUUUGGUAAUAAAGAUCGCACCAACGCUACAUUCAUAACUCCAGACAUCAAGAAUUUAUCAACCUCCCGACCUUGCAACCUUAACAUUAUCCUUAUCAGUCGUGUUUCGGAAGGGCAAGUUGGGGAAAAUCUUGGUGAAAAUAACUGCUCUGUGGACCAUGUGGAAGGCUCUGCUCUCCAAAAGCUUGAAGGGAAAUGUUUCUAG
rnacentral:rRNA from 1 species